rnacentral:lncRNA from 1 species
UUUCCUGACUGCAAGGGCACCUCAACAGUUUCCAGUCCCGUGACAGAUGUGUCCCUACUCACUACGGUUUUGUUUAGAACAGCCCGGGGGCACAUGUGACGUAUGUUUAUAAUGUCUCUUUGAUGACAUAGAGGGUGCAUUUAAUGUUUUCAACGGAUGAUUUACUAUAACCUGCCCUGUAAGCUGAUUACUGUACGGCUAUGCCCCAUAUUGCCUCAUGAACUGUGUGUUGAAUUACCGGUUAAUUAGGGAGCUAUUGAAAGAGAAUCCUUUGGUACACUGCUGCCUUUUCUUCUCUUGACUGAGUGCAUUCGAUUUAAUUACCCAGAUCAAACUCUCAGUAGCCUUUACCUUUUGUGCUGCCACAGGUGACCUCAGUUCCCGGCCCGGUCGCCCAGGAGCGAGUCAAGAGGAGAGGAGAGCCAGCAGCAGCAGCACCCAGGCCUACACAACAACGGGUCAUUGCCCGUCGUAUCCCACAGUGACUGCUUUACCCAGCGGAACGCCCUCUUCAACCAGGAGAUCCUCCAGGCCGAGGCAUGGAUCAAGAGGAGGCUGCAGGAGCUACAGGGAGGCCCCGCUGGCCAGUGCUGCCCCCUGCAGGGCAGCGAGGAGGCCUCCACCACGCUGCACAGAGACCUCAAGGUCUUCGAGAACACGCCUGACUCAGCUCAACCAGACGGGCGAGCAGUUGAUCUGCAAGCUGAACCCCUCGGCGGAGCUGGCGAGGAGACAGCUGAGCCAGCUCAGAGAGCACUGGCAGACGCUGAGACAGACGGCGGCCGAUCAGGCGAGGGCGCCGGGUGGCGUUGGCGUGAGGAGCUUGCAGGAGUUUCAACAGGAAAGUCGAGCGACUCGAGGCCUGGAUCAGAGACAAGGUGAAUCACGGGAUACGUGUCUCGCUCUUAAUUUUUUUCAUUUGCGCUUUAUCGCUCUUACCUUCACCGUUGAACCUCAGUGCCGUUCCUCAGAAACUCUGGAAAAUAACAUAUGCCUCAGCUUUAAAACACACACCCCAUCAUACGCUAGACGGGCUUGUGCUUAUAUCUCCACACCUGUCUGCCUAUCUAUAUUAUGUUGAUGAUAAGUGUGAGGGAGUUACACUGCCUCGUAUGCCGCUGGCUCAGAGUGGCUGACAGUUAAUCCCUGGGCGAGUAGAGAAGUAAUGCAAGUUUGUGUAAGAUCUUUCCACCAAGCUAUUCAGUCAACCCCCCCCCCCCCCCCCCAAGCGAUUAACCAACAACCCCUCGAGGAAAGCUCAUAUUCUCAAUCAAGGUUCAUAAAGGCUUUAUUUAUCACUGCAGCAGCAUCGACUAAAAAGGGCAGGAUAACUGCAAAAAAAGCUGGUUCUUUUUCUAUAAAGUCCUUUCUCUCAUCUCCCAUUAUUCUGCACGAAUGUCGAUGCGUUUGUGUGUGUGCUUGUGCGUCGUGCGUGUGGUGUGU